rnacentral:tRNA from 1 species
GUAAUUGUCGAAAGGAUCGUUUAUAAUUUCGACUUAUAAGUUAGCUAGUGCUAUUACU